GACGAACGCUGGCGGCGUGCUUAACACAUGCAAGUCGAACGGUAAGGCCCUUCGGGGUACACGAGUGGCGAACGGGUGAGUAACACGUGGGUGAUCUGCCCUGCACUUUGGGAUAAGCCUGGGAAACUGGGUCUAAUACCGGAUAGGACCACGGCCUGCAUGGGUUGUGGUGGAAAGCUUUUGCGGUGUGGGAUGGGCCCGCGGCCUAUCAGCGUGUUGGUGGGGUGAUGGCCUACCAAGGCGACGACGGGUAGCCGGCCUGAGAGGGUGUCCGGCCACACUGGGACUGAGAUACGGGCCAGACUCCUACGGGAGGGAGCAGUGGGGAGUAUUGCACAAUGGGCGCAAGCCUGAUGCAGCGACGCCGCGUGGGGGAUGACGGCCUUCGGGUUGUAAACCUCUUUCACCAGGGACGAAGCGCAAGUGACGGUACCUGGAGAAGAAGCACCGGCCAACUACGUGCCAGCCGCCGCAGUAA
rnacentral:rRNA from 1 species